UUCCUGAAACCGUGUGCCUACAAGUAGUUAGAGCCCGUUAAUGGGUGAUAGCGUGCCUUUUGUAGAAUGAACCGGCGAGUUACGAUUUGUUGCAAGGUUAAGCGGAAAAAGCGGAGCCGUAGCGAAAGCGAGUCUGAAUAGGGCGCAUAAGUAACAGGUCGUAGACCCGAAACCAGGUGAUCUACCCAUGUCCAGGAUGAAGGUAAGGUAAUACUUACUGGAGGUCCGAACCCACGCACGUUGAAAAGUGCGGGGAUGAGGUGUGGGUAGCGGAGAAAUUCCAAUCGAACUUGGAGAUAGCUGGUUCUCUCCGAAAUAGCUUUAGGGCUAGCCUCGAGGUAAAGAGUCAUGGAGGUAGAGCACUGUUUGGACUAGGGGCCCUUCUCGGGUUACCGAAUUCAGAUAAACUCCGAAUGCCAUGUACUUAUACUCGGGAGUCAGACUGCGAGUGAUAAGAUCCGUAGUCGAAAGGGAAACAGCCCAGACCACCAGUUAAGGUCCCCAAAUAUAUGUUAAGUGGAAAAGGAUGUGGGGUUGCUUAGACAACCAGGAUGUUGGCUUAGAAGCAGCCACCAUUGAAAGAGUGCGUAAUAGCUCACUGGUCGAGUGACCCCGCGCCGAAAAUGUACCGGGGCUAAACAUAUUACCGAAACUGUGGAUGAACCUCUUUAGAGGUUCGUGGUAGGAGAGCGUUCUAAGGGCGGUGAAGUCAGACCGGAAGGACUGGUGGAGCGCUUAGAAGUGAGAAUGCCGGUAUGAGUAGCGAAAGAAGGGUGAGAAUCCCUUCCACCGAAUAUCUAAGGUUUCCUGAGGAAGGCUCGUCCGCUC
rnacentral:rRNA from 1 species